rnacentral:rRNA from 1 species
GAGUUUGAUCGUGGCUCAGAUUGAACGCUGGCGGCAUGCCUUACACAUGCAAGUCGAACGGUAACAGGUCUUCGGGUGCUGACGAGUGGCGAACGGGUGAGUAAUACAUCGGAACGCGCCCAGACGUGGGGGAUAACGAGGCGAAAGCUUUGCUAAUACCGCAUACGAUCUAAGGAUGAAAGCAGGGGACCGCAAGGCCUUGCGCGUUUGGAGCGGCCGAUGGCAGAUUAGGUAGUUGGUGGGAUAAAAGCUUACCAAGCCGACGAUCUGUAGCUGGUCUGAGAGGACGACCAGCCACACUGGGACUGAGACACGGCCCAGACUCCUACGGGAGGCAGCAGUGGGGAAUUUUGGACAAUGGGCGAAAGCCUGAUCCAGCAAUGCCGCGUGCAGGAUGAAGGCCUCGGUUGU